rnacentral:rRNA from 1 species
CGUGUAGGCGGCUCCUUAAGUCUGAUGUGAAAGCCCUGGGCUCAACCUGGGAAGUGCAUUGGAAACUGGGGAACUUGAAUACGGGAGAGGGUAGUGGAAUUCCUGGUGUAGGAGUGAAAUCCGUAGAUAUCAGGAGGAACACCGGUGGCGAAGGCGGCUGCCUGGACCGAUAUUGACGCUGAGACGCGAAAGCGUGGGGAGCAAACAGGAUUAGAUACCCUGGUAGUCCACGCCGUAAACGAUGAGUACUAGGUGUUGCGGGUAUUGACCCCUGCAGUGCCGCAGCUAACGCAUUAAGUACUCCGCCUGGGAAGUACGGUCGCAAGACUAAA